UACGUAGGGGGCUAGCGUUGUCCGGAAUCAUUGGGCGUAAAGAGCGUGUAGGCGGUCCGGUAAGUCCGCUGUGAAAGUCGGGGGCUCAACCCUCGAAUGCCGGUGGAUACUGUCGGGCUAGAGUGCGGAAGAGGCGAGUGGAAUUCCUGGUGUAGCGGUGAAAUGCGCAGAUAUCAGGAGGAACACCUAUUGCGAAGGCGGCUACCUGGACCGGUUCUGACGCUGAGGCGCGAAAGCGUGGGUAGCAAACAGG
rnacentral:rRNA from 1 species